AUGGUCGAGAGGGAAAGAGCCCAGACCGUCGGCUAAGGUCCCUAAGUCUAGGCUAAGUGGGAAAGGAUGUAGGACCACUGAGACAGCCAGGAGGUUGGCUUAGAAGCAGCCACCCUUUAAAGAGUGCGUAACAGCUCACUGGUCAAGCGGUUCUGCGCCGAAAAUGUAACGGGGCUUAAGCCUAGCACCGAAGCCACGGGAUCUCGAUGAUUCGUCGUCGAGAUCGGUAGGGGAGCGUUCUGCACCGCGGUGAAGGCGGACCGUGAGGACCGCUGGAGCGUGCAGAAGUGAGAAUGCCGGCAUGAGUAGCGCAAUCCCGGCGAGAAACCGGGACGCCGUAUACCUAAGGUUUCCGACGGAAGGUUAAUCCGCGUCGGGUUAGUCGGGCCUAAGCCGAGGCCGAAAGGCGUAGGCGAUGGACAACGGGUUAAUAUUCCCGUACCACGUCGAAUCGAUAAAGACGCGAAGGGGGGACGCAGAAGGGUAGGCCAGCCUGUUAUUGGAUUCAGGUGCUAAGCCCGUAGGGCGAUGAUGGGGGUAGGAAAAUCCGCUCCCGGAGUCUGAGGGGUGAUGGCGGUGCCUUUAUGGCCAGAAGUGGCUGAGCCCAUACUGCCAAGAAAAGCCUCUAGCGAGAUUCGCGUGCCCGUACCGCAAACCGACACUGGUAGGUAGGUAGAGCAUACCAAGGCGAUCGGGAGAACCCUCGUUAAGGAACUAGGCAAAUUGACUCCGUAACUUCGGGAGAAGGAGUGCCCUCUGGGGUGAAGGGCCUUGCGCUUGGAGCCCUAGGGGGUCGCAGAGAAACGGCCCUGGCGACUGUUUAACAAAAACACAGGUCUCUGCUAAAGCGAAAGCUGAAGUAUAGGGGCUGACGCCUGCCCAGUGCCGGAAGGUUAAGGGAAAGGGUUAGCGCAAGCGAAGCUCUGAACCGAAGCCCCGGUGAACGGCGGCCGUAACUAUAACGGUCCUAAGGUAGCGAAAUUCCUUGUCGGGUAAGUUCCGACCCGCACGAAAGGCGUAACGACUGGGGCACUGUCUCAACGAGGGACCCGGCGAAAUUGAAGUGUGCGUGAAGAUGCGCACUACCCGCAGCAGGACAAAAAGACCCCGUGGAGCUUUACUGCAGCUUGGCAUUGAGUUACGGCUUAGUCUGUGUAGAAUAGGAGGGAGACUGGGAAGCUGGGGCGCUAGCCUCGGUGGAGUCGCCGUUGAAAUACCUCCCUGAUUAAGUUUUGACCCUAACCCCUGGCCGUUAUCCGGCAGGGGGACAGUGCCUGGUGGGCAGUUUGACUGGGGCGGUCGCCUCCCAAAGGGUAACGGAGGCGCCCAAAGGUCCCCUCAGGCUGAAUGGAAACCAGCCAUAGAGUGUAAAGGCAUAAGGGGGCUUGACUGCGAGACCUACAAGUCGAGCAGAGACGAAAGUCGGGCUUAGUGAUCCCACGGUACCGAGUGGAAGGGCCGUGGCUUAACGGAUAAAAGCUACCCCGGGGAUAACAGGCUAGUCUGGCCCAAGAGUUCACAUCGACGGCCAGGCUCGGCACCUCGAUGUCGGCUCGUCGCAUCCUGGGGCUGGAGUAGGUCCCAAGGGUUGGGCUGUUCGCCCAUUAAAGCGGCACGCGAGCUGGGUUCAGACCGUCGUGAGACAGGUCGGUCUCUAUCCGCUGUGGGCGCAGGUGACUUGAGGGGAGUCGCUCUUAAUACGAGAGGACCAGAGUGAACAGACCGCUGGUGUGCCAGUUGUCCCGCCAGGGGCAUCGCUGGGUAGCUAUGUCUGGAAGGGAUAACCGCUGAAAGCAUCUAAGUGGGAAGCCCACCUCAAGAUGAGGUCACCCACCCCGUUAAGGGGGUAAGACCGCAGGUAGACGACCUGCUUGAUAGGCGGCAUGUGUAAGCCCCGCGAGGGGUUCAGCUAAGCCGUACUAAUGGUCGAGGGCUUAACGGU
rnacentral:rRNA from 1 species